CCGAUUCGGUGUAUGGCCCACAUCUGCAGGACAGCAGGGCUGAAUGCCUUCUCUGUUAGCCCCUGCACGAGUCUUCUGUCCUCCAAACCAAGUCAGCUGUUUCUGGUAUCAAAGCUGCUGUAUCCAUGGCCAGACCUGCACUCACAGGAUUCCUCUGCCAACGAGUGAGGAGUGGAGGUAUCCUCAGAUGCCUGAAAGGAACCAAACCGCCCGCUAUUGUUCAGCUU